UGCUUGGCAGUUGAAAGAACGGCGGGAGAAGCUGCAGAGAAUUAAUUUGAUAUCACGCAUUGAUGGCUCUAAAGGAGUUGUCGCUCUCACUGGAAUCCAGUGAGAGUGACUCUGAGGAGUUGCCCGGAUUUACCUUUCUGAAGAAGAAACCAUCUUCAACAACGAGGAAGCAGCCUCAGAGGAAAGAGAAGAUUGUGUUGGUCAAUACCUCAGAUUCCGAGGCCUCCUGUCCUCCAUCACCAAGGUUGAAAGAUCCACCGCCUAUCCCAGAUACAGCUGAAACUGUCACACAAUCACAGUCAGCCGGGGUGCUAAGCAGUGGAAGUGAGGAUGAGGAGCAACUUAUUCCCCUGGCCGAGAGGCUCACAUGUAAGUUUUUGACCCACAAGCAGCUGAGCCCUGAGGACUCUAGCUCCCCAGUUAAACACAUUCUGGAUCAUAAAAAUAACGAAGGAACAUCAUGUGACAGGAAAAAACAGUGGUCUCCAAAGAGCUGUGAUGUUCCUCUCUGUUACACCUCAGAGAGGUGUGCAUCAAAUAACAAGGACCCUGUGGUAGACAGUGCGUGCCAUUGGCCUCCAGCCUACCGAGCUUCCGGCCCUCUCCAGAGCUACAACUCAGCAGUAACAAGAACAAAUGCUGAGGUCCCUCCAUCUCAGAAGAGAGCCAAGCACAGUCAGGAGGUCCAGAAGAGAGGCUCAAAGGGAUGCCAGCCACGGGGACAAGCAAGCCAGAAGGAAAAUGCCCUGACACAAUUGCAAAGGAAAAAGAAGGCAGCACUGGUCAGCAGGCCGAAAACCCAGAAGCUGGAGGAGUGCUUGAAACACCUGGUUGUGGUGCUGGAUCCAGUGCUUCUACAGACGGAUGGUGGGGGCCAGCUCCUCGGAGCGCUGCAGGCCAUGGAGUGCUGCUGUGCGAUUGAGGCCCAGGCCGUGCCGCGCAGCAUCACCUGGAGGAGGAGGAGGGCUGGGCUGGCUGCGGUGCCCUGGCAGGAUGGAGAGGAGGGCUGGGUAGAGGAGCCGCUGGUCCUGGUGCUGCUCUUGGCAGAGGCGUUUCUGUCCAUGGUCCACAACUUCAAGCAGGGAAGUGCAGGUGGCACUGAGGACGGGAGAGAAACACUUCGGGGCUUCGUAACUGACAUCACUGCAAGGACAGCAGGGAAAGCUCUGUCACUGGUGAUUGUGGAUCCGGAGAAAUGCCUCAGCACUCCAAAUACACCAAGGAGAAGGAAGCAGGGAGUGGCAAACAGAGAACAGGCCAAGAAGAAGAAAACUAAACCACCAGAGGCCAACACAGGGCCCACGGUGUCCAGGGUAGACAUAGAGAAGGCGUUGGUAGAUCUGCAGCUACACACGGAUGCCCAGGCUCGAGUUGUGCAGAGCUGGAAAGAGCUGACCGACUUUGCAUGCACGUUCACAAAGGCUGUGGCCGAGGCACCCUUCAAGAAACUGCGAGAUCAAACUUGCUUCUCCUUCUGCCUGGAGAGUGACUGGGCUGGAGGGGCGAGGGUGGACCGUGCUGGCAGGGGACUUGCUCAGGUCUGGAGACGACAGAUUCAGCAGCUGAACCGUGUCAGCCUGGAAAUGGCCAGUGCCAUUGUGGCCGCCUAUCCCUCCCCACAGCUCCUGGUCCGGGCUUAUAGGCGGUGUUUUUCAGAGCAAGAACGCCAGAAUCUGCUUGCGGACAUACAGGUGCGCCGUGGGGAAGGCGUAACAUCCACCUCCCGCCGUGUUGGACCAGAGCUGUCCAGACGUGUCUACCUUCAGAUGACCACGCUGCAGCCAGAUCUCUCUUUGGACAGUGCAGACUAAAGCGAGCCCUCGGGGACAAGACAAAAAGCUACAGAUUUCCACCUCACCCACCUUGGGACAUGACUACAGUGAAGGGAUUGAAGUGCUUCCCGUAGCACGGGCCUGGUCAGGUCCGCCUCAGACUGAUUCUAACUCUCGUAAAGCAGCGCGACUCCCUGUUCUGAUAAUGCUCUCCGCCACGUCGGACCAACACCCCUGCACUUGUGGCUCUGGGGAAACACGCUGCUGGCACCUGCUCCCCAGGAGAGCUCCACCUCCUGGGAGUGUACGGCCGACUACAUAAAAAGCUGGGAGGUUUAAGAGACGCCCCUUCCCCCCACAUCAGGAGUUACUUAUCGGAAAACACAGCCAGCUCAGAAAUGGGAGACUCCGCCAGUCCAGACCGUAAGUCCUCAGGGGCAGACUGCUCCCUCUCCCAGUCCACAGCAAACAGUAAGUGCUUGGGGAACACCGCUGCGCUAACCAGUUGUUUUUUAACAGGUGCUUUACUGUGUACCAAGAUGAUCAGUUUCUGGGACUAACCCAUGAGCACACGAGAUGAGACCCAAACUCGCUCCUGGAGACGAGUGACCUCAUUCUGACGGAUCCACGCCACCCCGCUGCAGUACCUGAAGGGGCGCUGCGGGAGACAGCCAAGACCCCGCAGGGCUGGCAGCCCAGCUUUGAUGACCACACCCACAAUGCAUUGAGCUGCCGGGCUUUAGGAGGUUAUGUGUCAGUGUGGCUAAAGACCU